rnacentral:lncRNA from 1 species
AGAUUUAAACGGUUUUCAAAUCCGGGAGGAGCCCUUUGAUCGCCGAUCUCAGCUGCCUCGGAGCCGUCCUGGACGGAUCAGCAGCGACCGACCGCGUGGUUCAAAGGGAUUCUGGACGGUUACUUCACUCAGGGAACCCCUGUGCCAACGAAGCAGCCCGGCAGCUCUCGUGAGAGCGGCUGAUGCAGUGCGUGGGCGUUGCCUGGGCAACGGCUUGCAUUCAUGCCUCGUGCCUUAAAAAAAAAGCCUCGAGCACCAGAGACAAAAAGGAGGGGUCCGGUCUGUGAACCACGUGGCUUCCUGUAUGGUGCUGUUGCACACCGUUCAUCUUUCUGUCAACUUUUCUUGGGAAGGAAGCAUAUAUGUGACAACAUUUAAUUUUCCACCACUUCUGCAAUGUUCUUCUAACUGAGAAGUAGGAGAUGUCAUUUACUAGCAGGUCCUGGCUCCAUACUGCUAACUGUUUAAAGUAGUGGUAGAUUGCCUUCAGUUCUUCGUGGAUGUGACUGUCUGGCAAGGAGUGCUUGUCUUACUGCUGCUCUCAGUUACUCAAAAGGAAGAUCUGGUAUCAACACUGAACACUAGCUUUGGGAAUCCUGCUGUCUCGGAUCAGUAUAGGGAUAUAAGAUUGUGACUUUCCGGAGAUCUGGUAACAUUACACUUCCAGUGCAUUACUAAAACAAAACACAAGAUCCCUGAAAACUGAAAUAUGGUCAAGAAGAAAAACUGUCAAUUAAUUUAAGUGUAAAAGGAAAAUGUCACGGUAAAGUGGAUUGGCAUGAAGACUGUGGAUUUGGGCAGUCCAGUCAAGGCAGACAAUCACAAAGGGGAAGCAGAGGCCAUGUGAAGUUGCAGGGUCAAACAGUCUCAGGAUAUGGUCUGCAUGUUAGCACUGAGUCAUCCCCGGGGAUCCAGAAGAAUUCAUUUGGAGAAGAAAGCAGAAGAAGCUGCCCUGAGCCACCGCAAGUGAUCAAUCACAAUUACACUAGCAAGGAUGAACACUUAAGAGCCUGGUGCAAACCCCUGUGCUGCUGAAUGCUUCGACGAUGGUAUGCAAGAAAACAGGAAGUUUCAGGAGUCAGUCCUCCUGAGAUGGAGCCCCCAGCACAAGAAAUAAGUGGCCCUGUUGGAGAGAGUCUGGAGGAGGCCAUGAGGAUGCUCAGAAAGCUUAAGCACCUCUUCUUUGAAGGCUGAGGGAGCUGGACUUGUUCAGCUUAUUCCUGCUUGGACAAAUGUUCCUUGUCAACUUCUUGAAAAAUAUGUGGACCAUACUGCAGGCUCUCUGUUGUCACAGCUAGCUGGUGGUGGUGUUCAGUCUAUCAUUUAAAGCCCGCUACCUGUUGGUCUGAUUCCCCAUACCAGGCAAGUGCUUGCUUCAUUUUGAAAAGAAAAAACAAAAUACC